rnacentral:rRNA from 1 species
GAUGAACGCUGGCGGCGUGCCUAAUACAUGCAAGUCGAGCGAACAGACGAGGAGCUUGCUCCUCUGACGUUAGCGGCGGACGGGUGAGUAACACGUGGAUAACCUACCUAUAAGACUGGGAUAACUUCGGGAAACCGGAGCUAAUACCGGAUAAUAUAUUGAACCGCAUGGUUCAAUAGUGAAAGACGGUUUUGCUGUCACUUAUAGAUGGAUCCGCGCCGCAUUAGCUAGUUGGUAAGGUAACGGCUUACCAAGGCAACGAUGCGUAUCCGACCUGAGAGGGUGAUAGGCCACACGGGAACUGAGACACGGUCCAGACUCCUGCGGGAGGCAGCAGUAGGGAACCUUCCGCAGUGGGCGAGAGCCUGACGGAGCAACGCCGCGUGAGUGAUGAAGGCCUUCGGAUCGUAAAACUCUGUUAUUAGGGAAGAACAAAUGUGUAAGUAACUAUGCACGUCUUGACGGUACCGAAUCAGGAAGCCACGGCUAACUACGUG